rnacentral:tRNA from 2 species
UCCCUGGUGGUCCAGUGGUUAAGACACUGCUCUCAAUGCAGGGGUCCAGGUUCAAUCCCUGGCCAGGGAA